UUCAAAUUCGCUGCCCCAGCCCCUAUAUUGGUUUUGUUCCCUCGGGGACUAUGGACAUAAAUGCGCUCGUCAUAAGCGGAUCGGACCCGGGGGCGGUACCCGGCGUCUCCACCAAACAUCCUUCAUUUGGGGAUCAUGGGGACGAAAUAGGAUCGACGAACGUCUAAAGGGGUUAGCUUUGUCUCGGCUGUCUGCCACCGUUACCGGCGAAAACUGUACAAUUGCAAAUGACAAUCGUGCUCCGAUGGCUCUGGCUGCGUAAGCAGUUCGAGAAAUCGAAAAUUAAGUCCUUGCGCUUUGCAGCGUAAGGCGGGGUUCGCAGGUACCUGGCAACAGAAACCUG
rnacentral:tmRNA from 1 species